UACGGAGGGUGCGAGCGUUGUCCGGAAUCACUGGGCGUAAAGGGCGCGUAGGUGGCUCGAUUAGUCAACGGUGAAAGCCCGGGGCUCAACCCCGGGUCGGCCGUCGAUACUCUCGUGCUUGAGCACUGUAGAGGCAGGUGGAAUUCCGGGUGUAGCGGUGGAAUGCGUAGAGAUCCGGAAGAACACCGGUGGCGAAGGCGGCCUGCUGGGCAGUAGCUGACACUGAGGCGCGACAGCGUGGGGAGCAAACAGG
rnacentral:rRNA from 1 species